rnacentral:rRNA from 1 species
AGUGAACGCUGGCGGUAGGCCUAACACAUGCAAGUCGAACGGCAGCACAGGAGAGCUUGCUCUCUGGGUGGCGAGUGGCGGACGGGUGAGGAAUACACCGGAAUCUACUCUGUCGUGGGGGAUAACGUAGGGAAACUUACGCUAAUACCGCACACGACCUACGGGCGAAAGCAGGGGAUCGUCGGACCUUGCGCGAUUGAAUGAGCCGAUGUCGGAGUAGGUAGUUGGCGGGGUAAAGGCCCACCAAGGCGACGAUCCGUAGCUGGUCUGAGAGGAUGAUCAGCCACACUGGAACUGAGACACGGUCCAGACUCCUACGGGAGGCAGCAGUGGGGAAUAUUGGACAAUGGGCGCAAGCCUGAUCCAGCCAUACCGCGUGGGUGAAGAAGGCCUUCGGGUUGUAAAGCCCUUUUGUUGGGAAAGAAAUCCAGCUGGCUAAUACCCGGUUGGGAUGACGGUACCCAAAGAAUAAGCACCGGCUAACUUCGUGCCAGCAGCCGCCGUAA